rnacentral:lncRNA from 1 species
GGGAGGGGCGCCGGCCUCCCAGAGAAGGCCUGACUGCUGCUCAGGCCAGCACAAUGUCCCAUGACCUCUGUUCUUUAAUUGUCAUAGUCGCCGUCUGUUUUGUUGUUCUGGGUAAGGAAGGCUAGAGCUGCAGGUGAAACUUUAAUAAGAAUCUAAUGUGAAUGGCUGCUGAACUCUUCCUGCGCUCCGGACGGGCCAGGCCGAGCGUUUUGCACUAAUGUGUCCCGCGGUGGACGUGGGGCGGAGCGU